rnacentral:rRNA from 1 species
AACGAACGCUGGCGGCAUGCCUAACACAUGCAAGUCGAACGAGACCUUCGGGUCUAGUGGCGCACGGGUGCGUAACGCGUGGGAACCUGCCCUUAGGUUCGGAAUAACUCCCCGAAAGGGGUGCUAAUACCGGAUAAUGUCUUCGGACCAAAGAUUUAUCGCCUUUGGAUGGGCCCGCUUUGGAUUAGCUAGUUGGUAGGGUAAAAGCCUACCAAGGCGACGAUCCAUAGCUGGUCUGAGAGGAUGAUCAGCCACACUGGGACUGAGACACGGCCCAGACUCCUACGGGAGGCAGCAGUGGCGAAUAUUGGACAAUGGGCGAAAGCCUGAUCCAGCAAUGCCGCGUGAGUGAUGAAGGCCUUAGGGUUGUAAAGCUCUUUUACCCGGGAUGAUAAUGACAGUACCGGGAGAAUAAGCUCCGGCUAACUCCGUG